rnacentral:miRNA from 1 species
UAACCAACGGGCAAAAGGAGGAAAGGAGAAGGAGGGAUGGGGAGGAAAUAAUAAUAAAAACUCGCUUUCCCACCCAUUUCUUCCUCUCCUUUAUUGUUUAUUUAUAUUU